AAUGAUUUGGCAGAUUAGUGCAUUAAAUUUAGAAUUUAAAAAAGUAUAAAAAUUACAUUCAUUA
rnacentral:tRNA from 1 species